UGAAGAAAGCAGACGUUGGCUUUGCAAUGGGCAUUGCUGGAACUGAUGUGGCUAAAGAAGCGUCUGAU
rnacentral:misc_RNA from 1 species